UACGUAGGGUGCAAGCGUUGUCCGGAAUUAUUGGGCGUAAAGAGCUCGUAGGCGGUUUGUUGCGUCGGCUGUGAAAUCCCGAGGCUCAACCUCGGGUCUGCAGUCGAUACGAGCAAACUAGAGUGUUGCAGGGGAGACUGGAAUUCCUGGUGUAGCGGUGAAAUGCGCAGAUAUCAGGAGGAACACCGAUGGCGAAGGCAGGUCUCUGGGCCACUACUGACGCUGAGAAGCGAAAGCAUGGGGGGCGAACAGG
rnacentral:rRNA from 1 species